rnacentral:rRNA from 1 species
UACGAAGGGGGCUAGCGUUGUUCGGAAUUACUGGGCGUAAAGCGCACGUAGGCGGAUUUGUAAGUCAGGGGUGAAAUCCCGGGGCUCAACCUCGGAACUGCCUUUGAUACUGCAAGUCUCGAGUCCGAUAGAGGUGAGUGGAAUUCCUAGUGUAGAGGUGAAAUUCGUAGAUAUUAGGAAGAACACCAGUGGCGAAGGCGGCUCACUGGAUCGGUACUGACGCUGAGGUGCGAAAGCGUGGGGGAGCAAACAGG